rnacentral:lncRNA from 1 species
GAAUGUGGGAAGAGAAAAGUCCAUUGCACUAUAAACAAGUGAAGUCCUUUGAGAUCAACGAAAGUCCCUCAGUCCCUUGGCUUAUAAACAAGAAAAGUCCCUAAAAUCAACGAAAAGUCCCUUGGACUAUAAACAAGAAAAGUCCCGUAAGAUCAACGAAAGUCCCUCAGUCCUUUGGACUAUUAGCAAAAAAAGUCUCCUAAAAUCAACGAAAGUACCUCAGUCCCUUAGACUAUAAACAAGAAAAGUCCCUUAAGAUAAACAAAGUCCCUUAGUCCCUUGAAUUAAAAACAAGAAAAGUCCAAUAAGAUCAACGAAAAGUCCCUUGGACUAUAAAGAAGAAAAGUCCCGUAAGAUUAACGAAAGUCCCUCAGUCCCUUACUAUAAAUAGAAAAAGGUCCCAUAAGAUCAACGAAAAUUCGCCUUGGACUAUAAACAAGAAAAAAUCCCUUUAAUAUCAACCAUAAUUAAAAAUACCGAUAUAUUUCGCGAUAUUUCGGCGGGAUACGCCGAUUUUUGGAGAAUCGACGUUUUAUAAUCCGGGAAUAAUCGAAUAUAUUCCCGAUAUAUUGAGAUGAAUUUUUUGUUUCGAGUGUCGGAAUGUAGGACUAUGCCAUUUUUUUGAAAUUCGAAAUUUCGCCUGGAUUUGGAAUUUUGAACCUUGAUAUCAACUAAAGUCCCUCCGUCCCUUGGACUAUAAACAAGAUUUGAAUGUAGGAAGAGAAAAGUCCAUUGGCUUACAAACAAGUAAAGUCCGCUGAGAUCAACGAAAGUCCCUCAGUCCCUUGGACUAUAAACAAAAAAUGUCACUUAAGAUCAACGGAAGUCCCUCAGUCGCUUGGAUUAUAAACAAGAAAGGUCCCAUAAGAUCAGCGAAAAUUCCCUUGGACUAUAAAUAAGAAAAGUCCCUUAAUAUCAACGAAAGUCCCUCCGUCCCUUGGACUAUAAACGAAAUGUGGAUGUAGGAAGAGAAACGUCCAUUGGACUAUAAACAAGUAAAGUCUGUUGAGAUCAAUGAAAGUCAGAAAGUCCCUUAAGACUAUAAACAAGAAAAAUCCCUUAAGAACAACGAAAGUCCCUCAGUCCCUUAAGAGUAUAAACAAAUAAAGUCCCUUAAGAUCAACGGAAGUCCCGCACACUCUUAAGACUAUCAACAAAUAAAAUCCCUUAAGAUCAACGAAAGUCCCGCAGUCCCUUGGAUUAUAAACAAGAAAAGUUCCUUAAGAUCUACGAAAAGUCCCUUUGACUAUAAACAAGUAAUGUCCGUUGAGAUCAAUGAAAGUCCCUCCGUCCCUUGGACUAUAAACAAAAAAGUCCCUUAAGAUCAGCGAAAGUCCCUUUGACUAUAAACAAGAAAAGUCCCUUCAGAUCAGCGAAAGUCCCUCAGUCCCUUGGACUAUAAACAAGUAGAAUAUGGGAAGAGAAAAGUCCAUUGCACUAUAAACAAGUGAAGUCCUUUGAGAUAAAUUAAAGUCCCUCAAUCUCUUGGACUAUAAACAAGAAAAGUUCCUUGAGAUCAAUGAAAAGUCCUUGGACUAUAAACAAGAAAAGUCCCUUCAGAUCAGCGAAAGUCUCUCAGUCCCUUGGACUAUAAACUAGUGGAAUGUGGGAAGAGAAUAAGUCCAUUGCACUAUAAAUAAGUGAAGUUCUUUGAGAUCAAUGAAAGUCGCACAGUCCCUUGGACUAUAAACAAGAAAAGUCCCUUAAGAUCAACGAAAUGUCCCUUGGAAUAUAAACACGAAAAGCCCCUUGGACUAUAAACAAGUAAGUCCCUUCAGAUCAGUGAAAGUCCCUCAGUCCCUUGGACUAUAAACAAGAAAGUCCCUUCAGAUCAGCGAAAGUCCCUCAGUCCCUUGGACUAUAAACAAGAUGGAAUGUGGGUAGACAAAAGUUUAUUGCACUAUAAACAAGUGAAAAAACCUUUGAGAUCAAAGAAAGUCCCUCAGUCCCUUGGACUAUAAACAAGAAAAGUCCCUUAAGAUCAACGAAAAGUCCCUUGGACUAUAAACAAGAAAAGUCCCUUCAGAUCAGCGAAAGUCCCUCAGUCCCUUGGACUAUAAACAAGAUGGAAUGUGGGAAGAGAAAAGUCCUUUGCACUAUAAACAAGUGAAGUCCUUUGCGAUCAACGAAAGUGCCUCAACCCCUUGGCCUAUAAACAAGAAAAGUCCCUCUAGAUCAACGAAAAGUCCCUUGGACUAAAAACAAGAAAAGUCCCUUGGACUAUAAACAAAAAAGUCGCUCCAGAUCAGUGAAAGUCCCUCAUUUCCUUGGACUAUAAACAAGUUGGAAUGUGGGAAGAGAAAAGUCCAUUGCACUAUAAACAAGUGAAGUCCUUUGAGAUCAACGAAAGUCCCUCAGUCCCUUGGCUUAUAAACAAGAAAAGUCCCUAAAAUCAACGAAAAGUCCCUUGGACUAUAAACAAGAAAAGUUCCGUAAGAUCAACGAAAGUCCCUCAGUCCUUUGGACUAUUAGCAAAAAAAGUCUCCUAAAAUCAACGAAAGUACCUCAGUCCCUUAGACUAUAAACAAGAAAAGUCCCUUAAGAUAAACAAAGUCCCUUAGUCCCUUGAAUUAAAAACAAGAAAAGUCCAAUAAGAUCAACGAAAAGUCCCUUGGACUAUAAAG